rnacentral:rRNA from 1 species
UACGGGGGGGGCAAGCGUUGUUCGGAAUUACUGGGCGUAAAGGGUUCGUAGGUGGCCUACUAAGUCAGACGUGAAAUCCCCUCAGCUUAACUGGGGAACUGCGUCUGAUACUGGGGGGCUUGAGGACAGGAGAGGAACGCGGAAUUCCAGGUGGUAGCGGUGAAAUGCGUAGAUAUCUGGAGGAACACCGGUGGCGAAGGCGGCGUUCUGGACUGUUUCUGACACUGAGGAACGAAAGCCAGGGGAGCAAACGGGG